CGCUUCUUCCACACCAACACUGUAUCUUUUGUAGGAAUCUGCGGGAUGGAAGUUGCAUAUGAAAAGGUAGGGACCUCGAAUAUAAGAUAAUACCUUGGUAGCUUCAUUGACAUGGUGGACGUUUGGUAAACUUCUUGUCAGUAGUUGCUCAUUCUCAUCCAAUCCCAUCAGCUCCUUAUCAAAAACGAACAAAUUGUGAUGCAUUUCCUCUUCUAAAAG
rnacentral:misc_RNA from 1 species